GUUGGAUGCAACAACAAGGAGAGGACAGAGCCUAUAAACUUUGCAAGGAAACCGGUGAAUAAAGGAUUCUGUCUACAUAAGGAAAAGAUUCUCGACUGUGACUGAAGCUGUCCAUAUUUAUAAUGAGUAACAACACUACUGCAAGAUGGCCCCAUGGAUCUGAUGAAGAUGGUGACAUGUCCUCAGUAUCAGAGGAACCUCUGAAAUCUAGGGAACCUGAAAAACCUGAAAAACCAGUGAAGCCUAAGAUAACAGAACCCAUGAAUCCCCCCUUACAUGCAACAAAUAUUGAUGAUAUCCUCCCAAAAAAAACAAAACCUAAAUAUAACUAACAUUUUCUAGAUUUGUUGCUUCUUUGACACAAUAACUCACUUUUCAUAUGUAGUGAUAGCAUUGAUUACUAUUUAUGGUCUAUUAUUGUGACUUUGUGUUUUGGUGUAAUAUUUAAGCUUAAAUCCGGUUUGUAAAUGACAAUAAAACAAAUCACAUCAUGCUACAGAGAGAGAGAGAGAGAUACAGAAAAAAAGAGAGAGAUGAUUUGUCAAAUAAAUGAAAUAAAUAAACUCAUGUUCAUUUCAGAAGAAA